rnacentral:miRNA from 1 species
AGAAUUGUGGGUGGACAUCGGU